rnacentral:sRNA from 2 species
CAAACUGUCAUUAAUUCUCUUCUUUUUUACCUUUUUCUUUUUUGCUAGCCAGGUUUUCAUUUCAUACUGCAAUAAAUACAGAGAAAAAACAGGAUCGACUAUAGGUUGAAACCGAGGUCAGUAAAAAAUCCCAGCCUUUAUUUCCAUUUCCCGAUAUGUAUGUGCAGUACGUUACCUCUGAUGUGUUUGGUCAGUACUAAUAUUUUUCGGUUUUUUUUGCGAUUAUGCUCUCAACUUCUGAAAAAUCAUAGUUAACCUACUUCUCCGCUUGGAAUGCGUAGAUUUAAAUUAGUAUCAAUCAUUUUCGAUUAACUGCAUGAGCGAUUAUUGGAAUGGCACCGCCAGAAUCGCACACGCCCAGUCAUGUAGCGCAAGAAACAUCCAAAGAGGAAAAAAGAUUUAAGUAAGGGCUUGGGGGAAGAAGCACUCUACAAGGAAACCAGUUUCAUUUCAAGAAAAAUGUCGCGCAGAUGUGAUGCAUU